rnacentral:misc_RNA from 1 species
GGAAGGAUCAUUAAAAAAUUACAAUACACCUUGAUUUUGAUAUCACAACAACAAAACAUUUUGUCAACAAAACAUAACUAAAAAAACUUUCAACAACGGAUCUCUUGGUUCUCGCAUCGAUGAAGAACGCAGCGAAUUGCGAUACGUAGUAUGACUUGCAGACGUGAAUCAUCGAAUCUUUGAACGCACAUUGCGCCUUGAGGUAUUCCUCAAGGCAUGCCUGUUUGAGCGUCGGCUCUUCUCAAACCCUCGGGUUUGGCUUUGCGACGAAAUAUCAAAACUAGUUGUUUUAAGUACCAUCUAGUCACCCCUUUCGCCCUCAAAUCAGGUAGGACUACCCGCUGAACUUAAGCAUAUCAAUAAGCGGAGGAAAAGAAACCAACAGGGAUUGCCUCAGUAACGGCGAGUGAAGCGGCAUGAGCUCAAAUUUGAAAUCCCUCGGGAGUUGUAAUUUGAAGGUUGGAGGUUCCAGCAACACACUGCCUAAGUCCCUUGGAACAGGGCGCCUUGGAGGGUGAGAGCCCCGUGAGGCAGCCGUGGCGCGUCGUAACCUCCUUCCAACGAGUCGAGUUGUUUGGGAAUGCAGCUCAAAGUGGGUGGUAAAUUCCAUCUAAAGCUAAAUACCGGCGAGAGACCGAUAGCGAACAAGUACAGUGAUGGAAAGAUGAAAAGCACUUUGAAAAGAGAGUGAAACAGUACGUGAAAUUGUUGAAAGGGAAGGGCUUGCAAGCAGACUCGGCCUCGGCCGGGCCAGCAUCGGUUUGGCGGGACGGACAAAGCGCGAGGAAUGUGGCACCCCUCGGGGUGUGUUAUAGCCUCGCGUCCUACGUCCUCGCCAGACCGAGGUCUGCGAUUCUUAUCUAGGAUGCUGGCGUAAUGGUUGCAAGCCGCCCGUCUUGAAACACGGACCAAGGAGUCUAACGUCUAUGCAAGUGUUUGGGUGCAAAACCCCAGCGCGGAAUGAAAGUAAGAGGUUGGAGCCUCCGGGCGCACAAUCGACCGACCCUGAAGUACUCGGACGGGUUUGAGUAGGAGCAUAGCUGUUGGGACCCGAAAGAUGGUGAACUAUACCUGAAUAGGGUGAAGCCAGAGGAAACUCUGGUGGAGGCUCGUAGCGGUUCUGACGUGCAAAUCGAUCGUCGAAUUUGGGUAUAGGGGCGAAAGACUAAUCGAACCAUCUAGUAGCUGGUUCCUGC